rnacentral:rRNA from 1 species
AUUGAACGCUGGCGGCAGGCCUAACACAUGCAAGUCGAGCGAGCGGCGGACGGGUGAGUAAUGUCUGGGAAACUGCCUGAUGGAGGGGGAUAACUACUGGAAACGGUAGCUAAUACCGCAUACCAUCAGAUGUGCCCAGAUGGGAUUAGCUAGUAGGCGGGGUAACGGCUCACCUAGGCGACGAUCCCUAGCUGGUCUGAGAGGAUGACCAGCAACAAUGGAAGUGGGACAAGGUCCAGACUCCUACGGGAGGCAGCAGUGGGGAAUAUUGCACAAUGGGCGCGAGCCUGAUGCAGACAUGCCGCGUGUGGGAAGAAGGCCUUCGGGUUGUAAAGCACUUUCAGCGGGGAGGCGGUACCCACAGAAGAAGCGCCGGCUAACUCCGUGCCAGCAGCCGCGGUAAUUC